AAAUUGAAGAGUUUGAUCAUGGCUCAGAUUGAACGCUGGCGGCAGGCCUAACACAUGCAAGUCGAGCGGUAGCACAGAGAGCUUGCUCUCGGGUGACGAGCGGCGGACGGGUGAGUAAUGUCUGGGAAACUGCCUGAUGGAGGGGGAUAACUACUGGAAACGGUAGCUAAUACCGCAUAAUGUCGCAAGACCAAAGUGGGGGACCUUCGGGCCUCAUGCCAUCAGAUGUGCCCAGAUGGGAUUAGCUAGUAGGUGGGGUAACGGCUCACCUAGGCGACGAUCCCUAGCUGGUCUGAGAGGAUGACCAGCCACACUGGAACUGAGACACGGUCCAGACUCCUACGGGAGGCAGCAGUGGGGAAUAUUGCACAAUGGGCGCAAGCCUGAUGCAGCCAUGCCGCGUGUGUGAAGAAGGCCUUCGGGUUGUAAAGCACUUUCAGCGGGGAGGAAGGCGGUGAGGUUAAUAACCUCAUCGAUUGACGUUACCCGCAGAAGAAGCACCGGCUAACUCCGUGCCAGCAGCCGCGGUAAUACGGAGGGUGCAAGCGUUAAUCGGAAUUACUGGGCGUAAAGCGCACGCAGGCGGUCUGUCAAGUCGGAUGUGAAAUCCCCGGGCUCAACCUGGGAACUGCAUUCGAAACUGGCAGGCUAGAGUCUUGUAGAGGGGGGUAGAAUUCCAGGUGUAGCGGUGAAAUGCGUAGAGAUCUGGAGGAAUACCGGUGGCGAAGGCGGCCCCCUGGACAAAGACUGACGCUCAGGUGCGAAAGCGUGGGGAGCAAACAGGAUUAGAUACCCUGGUAGUCCACGCCGUAAACGAUGUCGAUUUGGAGGUUGUGCCCUUGAGGCGUGGCUUCCGGAGCUAACGCGUUAAAUCGACCGCCUGGGGAGUACGGCCGCAAGGUUAAAACUCAAAUGAAUUGACGGGGGCCCGCACAAGCGGUGGAGCAUGUGGUUUAAUUCGAUGCAACGCGAAGAACCUUACCUGGUCUUGACAUCCACAGAACUUUCCAGAGAUGGAUUGGUGCCUUCGGGAACUGUGAGACAGGUGCUGCAUGGCUGUCGUCAGCUCGUGUUGUGAAAUGUUGGGUUAAGUCCCGCAACGAGCGCAACCCUUAUCCUUUGUUGCCAGCGGUCCGGCCGGGAACUCAAAGGAGACUGCCAGUGAUAAACUGGAGGAAGGUGGGGAUGACGUCAAGUCAUCAUGGCCCUUACGACCAGGGCUACACACGUGCUACAAUGGCAUAUACAAAGAGAAGCGACCUCGCGAGAGCAAGCGGACCUCAUAAAGUAUGUCGUAGUCCGGAUUGGAGUCUGCAACUCGACUCCAUGAAGUCGGAAUCGCUAGUAAUCGUAGAUCAGAAUGCUACGGUGAAUACGUUCCCGGGCCUUGUACACACCGCCCGUCACACCAUGGGAGUGGGUUGCAAAAAGAAGUAGGUAGCUUAACCUUCGGGAGGGCGCUUACCACUUUGUGAUUCAUGACUGGGGUGAAGUCGUAACAAGGUAACCGUAGGGGAACCUGCGGUUGGAUCACCUCCUUACCUUAAAGAA
rnacentral:rRNA from 1 species